rnacentral:rRNA from 1 species
GAUGAACGCUGGCGGCGUGCCUAAUACAUGCAAGUCGAGCGAACAGAUGAGGAGCUUGCUCCUCUGACGUUAGCGGCGGACGGGUGAGUAACACAUGGAUAACCUACCUAUAAGACUGGGAUAACUUCGGGAAACCGGAGCUAAUACCGGAUAAUAUAUUGAACCGCAUGGUUCAAUAGUGAAAGACGGUUUUGCUGUCACUUAUAGAUGGAUCCGCGCCGCAUUAGCUAGUUGGUAAGGUAACGGCUUACCAAGGCAACGAUGCGUAGCCGACCUGAGAGGGUGAUCGGCCACACUGGAACUGAGACACGGUCCAGACUCCUACGGGAGGCAGCAAUAGGGAAUCUUCCGCAAUGGGCGAAAGCCUGACGGAGCAACGCCGCGUGAGUGAUGAAGGUCUUCGGAUCGUAAAACUCUGUUAUUAGGGAAGAACAAAUGUGUAAGUAACUAUGCACGUCUUGACGGUACUUAAUCAGAAAGCCACGGCUAACUACGUG